GAUGAAGAACGUAGCGAAACGCGAUAGUUAAUGUGAAUUGCAGAAUUCAGUGAAUCAUCGAGUCUUUGAACGCACAUUGCGCCCCCUGGUAUUCCGGGGGGCAUGCCUGUCCGAGCGUCAUUGCUGCCCAUCAAGCGCGGCUUGUGUGUUGGGCCGCCGUCCGCCUUCCCCCCCGGGGGGAGGGGGACGGGCCCGAAAGGCAGCGGCGGCACCGCGUCCGGUCCUCGAGCGUAUGGGGCUCUGUCACCCGCUCUGGAGGCCCGGCCGGCGCCCGCCGACCCCCAACCUUCUUCUAACCAGGUUGACCUCGGAUCAGGUAGGGAUACCCGCUGAACUUAAGCAUAUCAAUAAGCGGGGGA
rnacentral:misc_RNA from 1 species